rnacentral:rRNA from 1 species
GACGAACGCUGGCGGCGUGCUUAACACAUGCAAGUCGAACGGAAAGGCCCUGCUUUUGUGGGGUGCUCGAGUGGCGAACGGGUGAGUAACACGUGAGUAACCUGCCCUUGACUUUGGGAUAACUUCAGGAAACUGGGGCUAAUACAGGAUAGGAGCUCCUGCUGCAUGGUGGGGGUUGGAAAGUUUCGGCGGUUGGGGUUGGACUCGCGGCUUAUCAGCUUGUUGGUGGGGUAGUGGCUUACCAAGGCUUUGACGGGUAGCCGGCCUGAGAGGGUGACCGGCCACAUUGGGACUGAGAUACGGCCCAGACUCCUACGGGAGGCAGCAGUGGGGAAUAUUGCACAAUGGGCGGAAGCCUGAUGCAGCAACGCCGCGUGCGGGAUGACGGCCUUCGGGUUGUAAACCGCUUUCGCCUGUGACGAAGCGUGAGUGACGGUAAUGGGUAAAGAAGCACCGGCUAACUACGU